rnacentral:rRNA from 1 species
AUUGAACGCUGGCGGCAGGCCUAACACAUGCAAGUCGAACGGUAACAGGAAGAAGCUUGCUUCUUUGCUGACGAGUGGCGGACGGGUGAGUAAUGUCUGGGAAACUGCCUGAUGGAGGGGGAUAACUACUGGAAACGGUAGCUAAUACCGCAUAACGUCGCAAGACCAAAGAGGGGGACCUUCGGGCCUCUUGCCAUCGGAUGUGCCCAGAUGGGAUUAGCUAGUAGGUGGGGUAACGGCUCACCUAGGCGACGAUCCCUAGCUGGUCUGAGAGGAUGACCAGCCACACUGGAACUGAGACACGGUCCUGACUCCUACGGGAGGCAGCAGUGGGGAAUAUUGCACAAUGGGCGCAAGCCUGAUGCAGCCAUGCCGCGUGUAUGAAGAAGGCCUUCGGGUUGUAAAGUACUUUCAGCGGGGAGGAAGGGAGUAAAGUUAAUACCUUUGCUCAUUGACGUUACCCGCAGAAGAAGCACCGGCUAACUCCGUG